UGUCAAGGGAUGGGAAUCGAACCCACAGUGUUCCGCUUACCGGGCAGAUGCCAUGUCCACUAGGCUACCUUGGA